rnacentral:tRNA from 1 species
AGCUCAGUUGGUAGAGCAUCUCCUUUACACGGAGGGGGUCGGCGGUUCGAGCCCGUCA